UAACACCUGCGCCACUAGUGGGAAUCAUUAUUAUUGGGCCUAAAGCGUCCGUAGCCGGUUUAGUAAAUCUUUUGUGAAAUUGUUGAGCUUAACUUAACGACGUGCAGAAGAGACUGCUAGACUAGAAACUGGGAGGAGUCAGAAGUAUUUUUGGGGGAGCGGUAAAAUGCUAUAAUCCCAAAAAGACUACCUGUGGCGAAGGCGUCUGACUAGAACAGCUUUGACGGUGAGGGACGAAAGCCAGGGGAGCGAACCGGAUUAGAUACCCGAGUAGUCCUGGCUGUAAACUCUGCGAGCUAGGUGUUGCAUAUUCUUCGUGAAUGUGCAGUGUCGAAGAGAAGUCGUUUAGCUCGCCGCCUGGGAAUUAUGGUCGCAAGACUG
rnacentral:rRNA from 1 species